CAGCAGCCGCGGGAAUACGGAGGGUGCAAGCGUUAAUCGGAAUUACUGGGCGUAAAGCGCACGCAGGCGGUCUGUUAAGUCAGAUGUGAAAUCCCCGGGCUUAACCUGGGAACUGCAUUUGAAACUGGCAGGCUUGAGUCUCGUAGAGGGGGGUAGAAUUCCAGGUGUAGCGGUGAAAUGCGUAGAGAUCUGGAGGAAUACCGGUGGCGAAGGCGGCCCCCUGGACGAAGACUGACGCUCAGGUGCGAAAGCGUGGGGAGCAAACAGGAUUAGAUACCCGUGUAGUCCCUGUCUCUUAUAC
rnacentral:rRNA from 1 species